AUAGGAGAGCACUCAGCUGCAGGUCCGGCUUUCAUCCUAGAUUUUUCCAGGCCAGCAACCAAAACAAUGUCUGAGCUUUUGACUGUGGAAUCAAUCUGGGCUCCACCUGCACAUGGACGCUGUCUUUUACAGCCCUGAGGAGUUUUCACAAUGCCUGUUGGGCUCUGUUAACGCCUCUGUAGGAAAGACAUGACUCCAAAGAAGUUUGGCUGCUGAUCAGCCCUAAGGCCUGGGAAUUCAACCAUCAACAGACUCACCCGAAAGACUAAGGAUUUGGAAUGGCACAUGCUGCCGUCUCUCAGUGCCCCAUGACUACUAUCUUCUGCUUUCAUCUCUUCAGAUCAAGGUUCAAAACCCUUUGAGCCUAAGGGAACAAGUUUUGCUCCAUCAUUGGUUCCUGUGACCGUGGGCUGUUGUGUCAUUUGUCCAAAGCAGCGGGAUCAACUGGUCAU